GACAGUUUAGCUUAAUGGUAAAGUACUUGACUGGUAAUCACAGGGAUGUGUGUUCGAGUCUCAUGGCUGGCC
rnacentral:tRNA from 1 species